rnacentral:rRNA from 1 species
UACGAGUGCCCCGAGCGUUAUCCGGAAUCAUUGGGCGUAAAGGGUGUGUAGGUGGCAGUGUUAGUCGAUUGUUAAAACCUGGGGCUCAACCCCAGAUGUGCGAUCGAAACGGCACAGCUAGAGGAUGGCAGGGAUGUAUGGAACUCAUGGAGUAGGGGUGAAAUCCGUUGAUAUCAUGGGGAACACCAAAAGCGAAAGCAGUACAUUGGGCCACUCCUGACACUGAAACACGAAAGCGUGGGUAGCGAAUGGG